AAGGCUUUUUGAUGUACCUUCUCUAGGGUUCACUGCUGUUUACGGAACAAAAUCUUCAAAACAAAAUAAGGUCACACAAGUUGUGAAGAAAAUGCACAGCCCUUCUAGAUCUAAUGUAAAGCUUCAGUAUUACGAAGGUGCUGAUGGAAAUAAAACUGGUGUAUCUGGUAAAGUAAUUUAUGUUUAAUAAAAAUAAAAACAAUUUUUAAAACCCAAUUUUUUUUUUAAUGUAUGAUCAUUCUCAGAACAGUUUUGUCCCGGUUUUUAAUUUGAUUUAAAUUAAUUUUCAAAUUUAAAGUUUUCAGAAAAAAAAAUUUCUUAAUUUUCUAAAAUAGUAAUUUUUAUUUUCAGGCAGAAGGAAAUUCAUCAAUCGAUUGAUUUCAAGUUUUUUUAAUCAUACAAUUAGAAAUUAUUUAAUCUAAAAAUUAUAAAUUAUUUAA